rnacentral:rRNA from 1 species
AUCCCAUCCCACCCACGCGGACCAAACCCUCCUCCAAGCUGAAGGAAGGCACGCCAAGCCCAAGGCCGGACCGACCCGCCCCCCUAAAAUCCCAAUCCCUUCUCCCGUCCCUCUUCCCUUCUCCAUCCCAUCCCCUUCCUCAACGAGCGAACGAAUCCAAUCCCCCUCGCCCACGCAUCUCGCCCCGCCCUGCCCCCCCUCCCCUUUCCCUUCCCCCGCAAGCAACGACGGGCGGAGAGCGGCGCGGGGAUCGACGUCCGGCGGCGGCGAUGAGGUCGACGGACUCCUCGUCGCGGUUCGUGCAGGAGCUGGUGCUGUACGCGGCGAGCGCGGCGCUCAGCUGCCUCGUCCUCUUCGCCGGCCUCCGCCAGCUCGACCCCAACCGCGAGUCCUCCAAGAAGGCGCUCCAGCACAAGAAGGAGAUCGCCAAGCGCCUCGGCAGGCCCCUCAUCUCCACCACCCCCUACGAGGAUGUGAUUGCGUGCGACGUCAUCAACCCCGACGAGAUCGACGUCGAGUUCGAGUCCGUCGGCGGCCUCGACGAGGUCAAGCAGGCGCUCUACGAGCUCGUCAUCCUGCCCCUGCGCCGCCCGGAGCUCUUCGUCUACGGCAAGCUCCUCAGCCCUCAGAAGGGGGUGCUCCUCUACGGCCCGCCCGGGACCGGCAAGACCAUGCUGGCCAAGGCCAUCGCCAAGGAGUCGGGCGCCGUCUUCAUCAACGUCAGGAUAUCCAAUCUCAUGAGCAAGUGGUUCGGCGACGCCCAGAAGCUCGUGUCUGCCGUGUUUAGUCUCGCCAACAAGCUCCAGCCCGCCAUUAUCUUCAUCGACGAGGUUGAUAGUUUCUUGGGACAGCGCCGGAACACAGACCAUGAAGCUUUGACUAAUAUGAAGACAGAGUUCAUGUCUCUAUGGGACGGUUUCACCACCGAUCAGAAUGCUCGUGUGAUGGUGCUUGCUGCUACAAACAGACCUUCUGAGCUAGAUGAGGCCAUCCUCAGGCGCUUCACGCAGAUAUUUGAAAUUGGGGUUCCUUCUCGCAGUGAAAGAAGCAAGAUACUUGAGGUUAUAUUGAAGGGAGAAAAUAUCGAGUCUAACAUUGAUUACGAUUACAUUGCCAGUUUAUGUGAGGGCUUUACUGGGUCAGACAUCCUAGAACUGUGCAAGCAGGCUGCAUUCUAUCCUAUCAGGGAGAUUUUGAACAGCGAGAAAGAUGGGACAAGAGCCAAUAGUCCAAGACCCUUGAGGCAAUCGGACCUGGAGAAAGCUUUGUCAACAUCUAGAAAGGGAAAGAAGGCCGCAAGCAGUGCGGCGUCAGGUCUCCAGUCGCCUGAGUGGAUCCGGCCGUCGGAUCCUGAAGAUGACCAGGUACAGAGCGCAAUCUUUGAGAUAUCUAAGCUGAUGUCUCGAAUAGUUCAGAACAGUCAGUCGGAACCGCAGGAGCCGUCUUCACCUUAAUCUAAAAACAGAAGGUUUUCCUUUUGCUAGAUCUCUGAAAAACCCGCAGUGGAGUAAGCGCUGGCAUUACCUACCUAGAUUCAGCAUAUGUAUUGGUUCGGUCGGUUAGCGUCGUGGGGCCGCUCUCUGGUUUUUGAAGUUUAUUGCAGCUGGCAAAGCCCCGCACUGAUGUUUUGAGUCCCAUCGUUCUCUGUGUGGAAAAUUCAGAAUCCUAAUAGUUCUGUGGAACACUUGUUCUGGUCUGCUCAUCUUGUAAUUUUCGUUUUGGAACUUGACUAUUGUAGGGUAGACAGACUCCUAUACAUACUGAAGAAAUGUGCCCUUCCAUCACCAUUCCAUUCCAUGGUUCAAUCAUACCAUUCGUUCUUUUCAU